GUAUUUACCUGGCAGGGGAGGUACGGUGAUCACCAAGGUGGUUUGCCCAGGAGGGGCGUGUCCACUCCAUCUGUGUACGCUGAUCCCCGUGAUUUCUCAAAUGUGGGAAACUUGACUGCAUAAUUUGUGGUAGAGGGGACUGAGUUUGUGCUUUGCCCUGA
ensembl:snRNA U1 U1 spliceosomal RNA